GAUGAACGCUAGCGGAAGGCUUAAUACAUGCAAGUCGAGCGGUAGGUGGCUUCGGCCAUUGAGAGCGGCGCACGGGUGAGUAACGCGUACAUGACCUGCCUGUCAGAAGGGGAUAGCCCUGGGAAACUGGGAUUAAUACCCUAUGGUAUUGAUAUUAUGAAUGAUAUCAAUUAAAGUUGAGGCGCUGACAGAUGGAUGUGCGUCUGAUUAGCUAGUUGGUAGGGUAACGGCCUACCAAGGCGACGAUCAGUAGGGGGCGUGAGAGCGUGGUCCCCCACACGGGUACUGAGACACGGACCCGACUCCUACGGGAGGCAGCAGUAAGGAAUAUUGGUCAAUGCCCGCAAGGGUGAACCAGCCAUUCCGCGUGGAGGAUGAAGGCCCUAUGGGUUGUAAACUUCUUUUAGAUGGGAAGAAAAUGCUAGAUGUAUCUGGUACUGACGGUACCAUCAGAAUAAGCACCGGCUAACUCCGUGCCAGCAGCCGCCGUAACAC
rnacentral:rRNA from 1 species